rnacentral:rRNA from 1 species
UACGAGGGGGGCAAGCGUUGUUCGGAAUUAUUGGGCGUAAAGGGUGCGUAGGCGGUUUGGUAAGUCUUAUGUGAAAUCUACAGGCUCAACUUGUAGUCUGCAUGAGAAACUGCCGGGCUUGAGUAUGGGAGAGGUGAGUGGAAUUCCUGGUGUAGCGGUGAAAUGCGUAGAUAUCAGGAGGAACACCUGUGGCGAAAGCGGCUCACUGGACCAUAACUGACGCUGAUGCGCGAAAGCUAGGGGAGCAAACAGG